CCUGCCUAGCUACCAAGAAAAUUGUUUAAACAAAUUCUUGGGGAAAAAUAAUUCAACUCCCUCGAUCAAAAAUCAAGAACUAAAGCCCUUACUUCUCUCCCCUCCUCCUUCCUUUUUUCUUCUUGCUAUCCCUCUCUUCCAUGUCUGUUUUGUCCUGAUCUCUGUUUCUGCUAAUAAUUAACAAUGUAUCCCCAUAUAAACUCGAAUGGGUAUGACCAAUUCGCUUCUAAAUCAUUAGAAAAAUCUUCUCAACCAUAUUUUUACCCUCAUUUAUUACCUUAUGGGUAUGGUAUGCCCCCAACACAACAACUUCCUCCACCAUAUGGAUCUUCUGGGUCUAAUGUAUAUGUCCAAAGAGCCCCUAUUGGAAUAACCAAACCAAUGCAAGAGACAACUUGGUCAACCAACAUUUUUGCAUGUUGUAGAGACCCCAAAAAUUGUCUUACAACAUGUUUUUGUCCAUGUAUAACAUCCGGGCAUGUUACAGAAAUUGUCAGUGAAGGACGAACGUCAUGCAUGGAAGGAGUGAUAGUAAACUUGUUGCUAUGUUGUUGUUUGGCUGCACCCCUUUACACAUUUUACAACAGGGUUAAAUUGAGAAAAAAGUUCAAGUUGGAAGGGAACGGCGUUCUUGAUUGCAUUACUCAUACACUUUGCUGUUAUUGUGCAUUGUGUCAAGAGUAUCGUGAGCUUCAUCGUCAAGGAUUUGACCCUAGUCUUGGAUGGGCAGAAAAUAUUGAGAGGCAAAGCCAUGCUGUUGCUGUUUUCACUAUCACGCCACCUCAAGUUCAAGAAGCAAUGAAAAGAUAGAUAAGAUCUCGAAUAUUUUUCGACCAGUUAAUUGUCAAGAUCCAGGUACCGCUACUCAAGCCUACCAUCGUUCAGGGAGGAAACUGCUCUAGAGACUUCGAGAUGGGGAGGACACGUGCUACUCGAGAUGAUCAGGCACCCGUGCCCCCUACUGCAGCCAUUAGAGGCCAGGGCCUGGGUAGAGGCCGAGGACGCGCAUAUGGUGCAGCCAGAGCCCCUACGCGAGCUACCGCCAAUGUACCACCAGCAAUUCCAGCUGAAGUCCAGGCACCUGACAUGCCUACUGCUACUACUACUACUCCAGCUCUUCAGGAGACUUUGGCGCAGUUCAUGAGCAUGUACAUCACCUUGGCUCAGGCAUGGUUACUCCUCAUUGCUGCAGCCAUAUCCUAGACUGGGGGAGGAGCAUAGAGUCCCGCCGCCCGUACUCCUGAGCAGCGAAUUCAUGUUGAGCAAGUCCCUGAGAUUAUUCUUGUGCCACCUGCAGUGCCGGUUCAGCCCGAGGACAGGGCAACGGCUUCCGAGGAUGAG